GACGAACGCUGGCGGCGUGCUUAACACAUGCAAGUCGAACGAAGAGCGAUGGAAGCUUGCUUCUAUCACUCUUAGUGGCGAACGGGUGAGUAACGCGUAAUCAACCUGCCCUUCAGAGGGGGACAACAGUUGGAAACGACUGCUAAUACCGCAUACGAUAUGAAUUCGGAAUGGAGGAUAGAUGAAAGGUGGGGUGGAUAGGUAAGUGAGUAGUGAAGGAGGGGAUUGCGUCUGAUUAGCUAGUUGGAGGGGUAACGGCCCAACAAGGCGAUGAUCAGUAGCCGGUCUGAGAGGAUGAACGGCCACAUUGGGACUGAGACACGGCCCAGACUCCUACGGGAGGCAGCAGGUGGUAAUCUUCCUCAAUAUACUAAACUCUCACCAAUCAACCCCUCUGGAUUGAUUACGGCCUUCGGGUUGUAAAGCUCUGUUAAUCGGGACGAAACUCCUUUUUCCAAAUAUUUAUCAGUAUUAACUAUCCCCCAAUAGAAAUCCACGGCUAACUACUUG
rnacentral:rRNA from 1 species